AGUGAACGCUGGCGGUAGGCCUAACACAUGCAAGUCGAACGGCAGCACAGUAAGAGCUUGCUCUUACGGGUGGCGAGUGGCGGACGGGUGAGGAAUACAUCGGAAUCUACUUUUUCGUGGGGGAUAGCGUAGGGAAACUUACGCUAAUACCGCAUACGACCUACGGGUGAAAGCAGGGGAUCUUCGGACCUUGCGCGAUUGAAUGAGCCGAUGUCGGAUUAGCUAGUUGGCGGGGUAAAGGCCCACCAAGGCGACGAUCCGUAGCUGGUCUGAGAGGAUGAUCAGCCACACUGGAACUGAGACACGGUCCAGACUCCUACGGGAGGCAGCAGUGGGGAAUAUUGGACAAUGGGCGCAAGCUUGAUCCAGCCAUACCGCGUGGGUGAAGAAGGCCUUCGGGUUGUAAAGCCCUUUUGUUGGGAAAGAAAAGCAGCAGGUUAAUACCCCGCUGUUCUGACGGUACCCAAAGAAUAAGCACCGGCUAACUUCGUG
rnacentral:rRNA from 1 species